rnacentral:rRNA from 1 species
UAAUCGCGGAUCAGAAUGCCGCGGUGAAUACGUUCCCGGGUCUUGUACACACCGCCCGUCACACCAUGGGAGUCGGAAAUGCCCGAAGUCUGUGACCCAACCUACGGGAGGGAGCAGCCGAAGGCAGGUCGGAUGACUGGGGUGAAGUCGUAACAAGGUACC